rnacentral:rRNA from 1 species
UACAGAGGGUGCGAGCGUUGUCCGGAAUCACUGGGCGUAAAGGGCGCGUAGGUGGCGGGAUAAGCGUGUGGUGAAAGCCCGGGGCUCAACCCCGUGUCUGCCAUGCGAACUGUCUUGCUUGAGCGUAGUAGAGGCAGGUGGAAUUCCGGGUGUAGCGGUGGAAUGCGUAGAGAUCCGGAAGAACACCGGUGGCGAAGGCGGCCUGCUGGGCUACUGCUGACACUGAUGCGCGACAGCGUGGGGAGCAAACAGG